GACUCUUUCCUUGUGACUAUUUGGUAGACCCAGUGAUCUUCUGCUCUAUAAUGCAAUCUGCAGGCUAGAUGCUCUAGAGUUUUGACUUCUGUUUAGCUCUUCUCAUUUAUCCUCUGCCUCUGCCCUGCAGUUGCUGUCUCUGCCCAUCUAAGAUGGAACCCGCUGUGGAAGAGAUAUUUGGUGUUGACAAAUGCAGCAUCACAUUGUCUGACCUCCUGCAUCAGAAGAAUUGUGAUCUUCAAGCUCGACCAAGACAGAUGAGAGCAUUAAUAAUCCUGAAAAUCAUUCUGGAAUUCAACAGAAGAGACAAAUGGAGCAGAGCCCCCAGCCUCAGGGGUCGGAAUGAAAAGUGCUGACUUCAGAAGCGGCUCCCUUGGCC
ensembl:lncRNA